rnacentral:tRNA from 1 species
GCCCGUGUGGUGAAAUGGCAGACACGCCAGACUUAGAAUCUGGUACCGAGAGGUGUGGGGGUUCAAGUCCCUUCGCGGGCA